CCUACGGGUGGCAGCAGUGAGGAAUAUUGGUCAAUGGACGAGAGUCUGAACCAGUCAAGUAGCGUGAAGGAUGACUGCCCUAUGGGUUGUAAACUUCUUUUAUAUGGGAAUAAAAUGUUCCACGUGUGGGAUUUUGUAUGUACCAUAUGAAUAAGGAUCGGCUAACUCCGUGCCAGCAGCCGCGGUAAUACGGAGGAUCCGAGCGUUAUCCGGAUUUAUUGGGUUUAAAGGGAGCGUAGGUGGAUUGUUAAGUCAGUUGUGAAAGUUUGCGGCUCAACCGUAAAAUUGCAGUUGAAACUGGCAGUCUUGAGUACAGUAGAGGUGGGCGGAAUUCGUGGUGUAGCGGUGAAAUGCUUAGAUAUCACGAAGAACUCCGAUUGCGAAGGCAGUUCACUGGACUGCAACUGACACUGAGGUUCGAAAGUGUGGGUAUCAAACAGGAUUAGAUACCCUGGUAGUC
rnacentral:rRNA from 1 species